AAGGCUGAGGCGUGAUGACGAGGCACUACGGUGCUGAAGCAACAAAUGCCCUGCUUCCAGGAAAAGCCUCUAAGCAUCAGGUAACAUCAAAUCGUACCCCAAACCGACACAGGUGGUCAGGUAGAGAAUACCAAGGCGCUUGAGAGAACUCGGGUGAAGGAACUAGGCAAAAUGGUGCCGUAACUUCGGGAGAAGGCACGCUGAUAUGUAGGUGAAGUCCCUUGCGGAUGGAGCUGAAAUCAGUCGAAGAUACCAGCUGGCUGCAACUGUUUAUUAAAAACACAGCACUGUGCAAACACGAAAGUGGACGUAUACGGUGUGACGCCUGCCCGGUGCCGGAAGGUUAAUUGAUGGGGUCAGCGCAAGCGAAGCUCUUGAUCGAAGCCCCGGUAAACGGCGGCCGUAACUAUAACGGUCCUAAGGUAGCGAAAUUCCUUGUCGGGUAAGUUCCGACCUGCACGAAUGGCGUAAUGAUGGCCAGGCUGUCUCCACCCGAGACUCAGUGAAAUUGAACUCGCUGUGAAGAUGCAGUGUACCCGCGGCAAGACGGAAAGACCCCGUGAACCUUUACUAUAGCUUGACACUGAACAUUGAGCCUUGAUGUGUAGGAUAGGUGGGAGGCUUAGAAGUGUGGACGCCAGUCUGCAUGGAGCCGACCUUGAAAUACCACCCUUUAAUGUUUGAUGUUCUAACGUUGACCCGUAAUCCGGGUUGCGGACAGUGUCUGGUGGGUAGUUUGACUGGGGCGGUCUCCUCCUAAAGAGUAACGGAGGAGCACGAAGGUUGGCUAAUCCUGGUCGGACAUCAGGAGGUUAGUGCAAUGGCAUAAGCCAGCUUGACUGCGAGCGUGACGGCGCGAGCAGGUGCGAAAGCAGGUCAUAGUGAUCCGGUGGUUCUGAAUGGAAGGGCCAUCGCUCAACGGAUAAAAGGUACUCCGGGGAUAACAGGCUGAUACCGCCCAAGAGUUCAUAUCGACGGCGGUGUUUGGCACCUCGAUGUCGGCUCAUCACAUCCUGGGGCUGAAGUAGGUCCCAAGGGUAUGGCUGUUCGCCAUUUAAAGUGGUACGCGAGCUGGGUUUAGAACGUCGUGAGACAGUUCGGUCCCUAUCUGCCGUGGGCGCUGGAGAACUGAGGGGGGCUGCUCCUAGUACGAGAGGACCGGAGUGGACGCAUCACUGGUGUUCGGGUUGUCAUGCCAAUGGCACUGCCCGGUAGCUAAAUGCGGAAGAGAUAAGUGCUGAAAGCAUCUAAGCACGAAACUUGCCCCGAGAUGAGUUCUCCCUGACUCCUUGAGAGUCCUGAAGGAACGUUGAAGACGACGACGUUGAUAGGCCGGGUGUGUAAGCGCAGCGAUGCGUUGAGCUAACCGGUACUAAUGAACCGUGAGGCUUAACCUU
rnacentral:rRNA from 1 species